rnacentral:rRNA from 1 species
UACGAAGGGGGCGAGCGUUGUUCGGAUUUACUGGGCGUAAAGGGCGCGCAGGCGGCUUAUUUGUCAGGCGUGAAAGCCCCGGGCUUAACCUGGGAACUGCGUUUGAUACGGAUGGGCUAGAGUUCGGGGAGAGGAGCGUGGAAUUCCCAGUGUAGAGGUGAAAUUCGUAGAUAUUGGGAAGAACACCGGUGGCGAAGGCGGCGCUCUGGACCG